CGGGUGAGUAACACGUGAGCAACCUGCCCUGGACUCUGGGAUAAGCGCUGGAAACGGCGUCUAAUACUGGAUAUGAGGCGUGACCGCAUGGUCAUGUUUGGAAAGAAUUUCGGUCUGGGAUGGGCUCGCGGCCUAUCAGCUUGUUGGUGAGGUAAUGGCUCACCAAGGCGUCGACGGGUAGCCGGCCUGAGAGGGUGACCGGCCACACUGGGACUGAGACACGGCCCAGACUCCUACGGGAGGCAGCAGUGGGGAAUAUUGCACAAUGGGCGGAAGCCUGAUGCAGCAACGCCGCGUGAGGGAUGACGGCCUUCGGGUUGUAAACCUCUUUUAGCAGGGAAGAAGCGAAAGUGACGGUACCUGCAGAAAAAGCGCCGGCUAACUACGUGCCAGCAGCCGCGGUAAUACGUAGGGCGCAAGCGUUAUCCGGAAUUAUUGGGCGUAAAGAGCUCGUAGGCGGUUUGUCGCGUCUGCUGUGAAAUCCCGAGGCUCAACCUCGGGCCUGCAGUGGGUACGGGCAGACUAGAGUGCGGUAGGGGAGAUUGGAAUUCCUGGUGUAGCGGUGGAAUGCGCAGAUAUCAGGAGGAACACCGAUGGCGAAGGCAGAUCUCUGGGCCGUAACUGACGCUGAGGAGCGAAAGGGUGGGGAGCAAACAGGCUUAG
rnacentral:rRNA from 1 species